AAAAGACACAGGGAGGGGGGAAGGAAGGAGGAGAGAGGGAGAGGGAAAAGAGAAAGAAGGUGGUCAGGCAAAACAAAGAUCUUCUGGACUAGUUUUAUUAGUUUUGUGUUCAUCAGGGUCUCAUCAGGGGAGGACAAUUGGUUUGGUCACAUCCUCUACCAACAUCUGGGAAACAACCUUUUACCCCAAAUGCCCACAGGAGGCAAGAGCACCAGAUCUAUAUGGUUGGCUAUGGAGGAUUCCAAAUGCAGAAAACCAGAGCUGAAGAACAGCGCCCCAAGAUUCUGUACCAUGUCGGCCCCAAGCUGCCGAUGGCAGCUGGGAGGGAGAAAGAGAAGAGAGUGCUGGAGAAAGGGCUGGAAGAGUCACUUUAGGGCCUCAGAGACUCUGCCUCUCAUCGGCCCUUCCCAUCUAUAGGUUUCUGUGGGCUUUGUGAUAUAUGCCCCCUGCCAAGAAACACUUGAGCUUCCAAUGGUCAAGGCACCACCAUACCCAGGGAACUGUCACUGGGUCAUCUCAGAAAACGGGACUUUCUCCUGCACACGUACACUGGGAGACCAUGUACAAUACAGCAUUUAUUACACAAAUGUUUUGAAUUGUAUUUCAUUGAAAAAAAGAUUAAAGGGGAUAAAAACUGGUGUUAGCAUAUUUCAGAUUGCACUGAGUCAGCAACAGAAUGAAGUGAUUGUGACAGGAGAUAUUUCAGGCCCAAGUGCCUCAUUAGGCUGCUGACAUUUAGGCUGAGGGGGCUCAACGCCAGACACACCACACUGGUGCAGAGGCUUGUUCCAUUUUGGUUACCCGUUUGAGUUCCUGAAAUCUGUUUAUAUAACGCCCCUUUAGGUGCCAGAAGGGAUGACAACUUUGUGUACAACAAAGGGCAUUCAUUGGGAACUGGGCCAGCUGUUGCUACCAGAAAAUAUUUUCAUCACUGGGGAAGGAGACAGCUCU